rnacentral:rRNA from 1 species
AAAGGAAUAGACGGGGGCCCGCACAAGCGGUGGAGCAUGUGGUUUAAUUCGACGCAACGCGAAGAACCUUACCAAGGCUUGACAUGGAAACGCCAGGUGCAGAGAUGUACCUUCCCCUAUGGGGCGAUUCACACAGGUGGUGCAUGGUUGUCGUCAGCUCGUGUCGUGAGAUGUUGGGUUAAGUCCCGCAACGAGCGCAACCCUUAUGUUUAGUAGCCAUCAGGUAAAGCUGGGCACACUAGAGAGACUGCCGUGGAUAAAACACGGAGGAAGGUGGGGACGACGUCAAAUCAUCAUGCCCCUUAUGUCUUGGGCUACACACGUGCUACAAUGGGUGCAACAGAGUGAAGCAAGAGCGUGAGCUGGAGCCAAGCACAAAAAGCAUCCUCAGUUCGGAUUGCAGUCUGCAACUCGAGUGCAUGAAGUUGGAAUCGCUAGUAAUCGCGAAUCAGCAUGUCGCGGUGAAUACGUUCCCGGGCCUUGUACACACCGCCCGU